AACAACUCCAAUAAUAGAGAACUGCCUUUGAGUGUCAAUGAUAUAAUAUGUUCACUUUCACAUGGUACUUGCAAAAUAUUUUUCUGCUAGUACCAUGUGAAAGGGACAUUGUCCUAAGCUCUUAGGAAACAAGCAAAAGGCUGUUUGCCCAAAAGAAAAAAAAAAUAAAACAACAAAAUAACCAUCUUAGAAGCUGCUGCUGCUGUUUUCAUCAAAAUAUACAUUACAAUAAAAAUUUAAAAUCAUUGUGAAUGAGGUGCACAUGCACCCUAUAUUAUAAUCCCUCAACAAAAAGAAUGACCUAAAAUAAACAAAGAAUAAAACUCAUAGCCAUAGUGUUAGGAGAAAAAAAUGGUUUCUAGCUGGUCUUCAGAAUCAGAUGAUAUUUCUCAUACUGUUUCUUCUUUUCCUUUGUGUUUUGGUUGUCUAUCGCUCAUUUUGUAUUACCUUUUUAGCCAACAUAGGGUUGGUCAAUGAAGGCCCACUCAAAGACCUCCUCAUAUUGAAUUGCAGCAUUUUCCCAUGUGUAGUCUCUUUCCAUACCUCUCUUCAUUAUUCCCUCCCAGGAUAAUUUAUGAUCUCUGUAUGUCUUGACAGCAAGUCUUAAUGCCUAUAAAAAAAAUAAUCCAAGUAUAAUUAGAAAUAAGGUAAUGAUAAACAACAAAACCAUUAAUAAAAUUCAAAAAAGCCUUUGGUAACUAAUUAAAUGGUGAAAGGAAGAUGCUAGCAUGAGGCCAAUGAUGCUACUCUGAAUCCUUUCCCUGUUCUAAUACUUGAUCACAUCACGAGGCACGAGCCAAAUUAUUGCAGGGAAGGUCCUCCUAGCACCUUACAUGAAAUUUAUUCCUAAAGGUCAACUGGAUAGGGUUCAUGUGCUCAGGAAAAAGAUAACCUUUUUAAAAUGGUUUAGUAGAGUUUCACCAAAUUAUAUAAAUUUUACAGAAAGUUAAUUAAAAUCUCAACUCAUGUGAGAAAUUGAUUAGGGGGCAUCUGCAGGUGAUGACAUUGCAGAAGAAUCAAAACUCAACAGGGGAGAGCUUGUCAUUCAUCAUAGGAAUGCUUGUGACAGGAAAACCCUUAAAACUUUUUCAUCAAACAGAUUUUAUGAUAAAUGCUCGACUGAAUGAAUGACUAGUGUCUGCAAAAGUCUAGUCUCAAAACCAACAAAUCAGCUUUGUAAUGUGUAAACUCUCAAAUCUCUCACAAACUAAAAUGUCUCUUGGAUAACAAGAACAAAGGGAACAAAAGGUGAUUUCAAAUAGUAAACUUAAUAAACAAUUAAAACAUUUGUUGCAUUGAAACAGAAUCAGAAUUUCUGACGAAGAAAUAUAGUGCGCAUGAAUUAAAGUUAACUUACUGCCAGCAUACUUUCUUUUGAUAGCGGAGAAAAGGUCCACCUGCCAAUAUAUUCCAUGACAUUACCAUAAAAAGAAUUUUAUGCAAGUCAUUAUCUAAACGAAACAAAAAAACUAAAUUCCCAGUAAGGAAAUAAAAUUGGCAAAUAUGCAGAGAGCCAUUCUAGUAACAUAAAGCAUACAUUUCUAGUCAUCAUAUUAAGUUUAUUUAACAAAAAAAUGACUUGAUCAUCAUGAGUAAUUUCCCCCCAAAAUAAAAUUCCCUAGAAGUUAAUCGGUAACAACCUUUGUUAGAUUAGUUUUUCUCCCAUGAAAAAAGAAAAAGACAUGCAUGUCUUAGUUUUGUGGCGAGACAGACAAUAUAGAACUCACAAGAAAACAAGAUUAAGGACUUGAAAAACUUAGAAUUACAGUUGAAAUUUAUUAGGGGGCUUAUUUGGGAAAUUAGAGUGCUUUCUAGUUCUUUAAGAAUCUUAAAAAUAUGUCCACUCAAAUGAAUCGGUUACUAGAGACUUCAUAAUACUAUUCCGGGUACUUUGCUAAUUAUUGGCUUUGCUGAGCAUUGUCCUGGUUUUAAUCUUUUGAGCCUUAAAUUCCGUUCAUUAAUGUUUUGAGUUUAUAAGAAUCUUAAUGGGUGUAGGAGUCAUAUAAAUGGGGUAUUCAUUUAUUGGAGUCUAAGUAAGAAUAGAGUUAUUUCGAGUCUAUAAAAUUCUAUGAUCAUAAUGCUUCACCAAUAAAUUUUUGAGUGAACAAGUACCAGCAGUUCAGAUAGAAUAUGUUAAAAUUCUCUCUCAUUAUAACAAGGUUAUUGUUGUAUAAUGAAAAUAUAAUGUAUGAGGAUUGGGUGUAAAUGUUAUAUAAAAGUGUAAGUGAAUGCUUCGCAAAACAACAUUGGAAUAAGGGAAAAAGAAAUAUUAAAAGAAAAGGGAAGAAAUAAUAAAUGGCAAAAAGCCACAGGUAUAUGAAUUUAUUUUUUUCCUAAUUGGGAAAUAAUGGUACAUUCUAUUAUAUAUAACAAAUCCUUCCAAUUCCAUUAUAGACAGAAAUUUGGACAAGGAAAAAACAAUUUCAAGAAAAAGAAACAAAGUGAAUUAGACGAAUAUUUUUUUGUUGACAACCUCAAAGAAAAAAAAGUGUCUUUAAAAAAAGUGCUUGUUCCUAGCUGCAGAUCUGAAGCAUUGGAACUUGAAUUAAUUAUGUUCCAGAAUUCAUCCACAUCAAUGCUACAAAACACAAUAUCAGAUGCAGAAUUAAAAUUAAGAUUUAUUUUAUGUUAUCCCAGGUGCAUAAAAGGCACCAUUUCUUGUUAUUAAGUUUUGCAACUAAAAGGAUCUUUCCAGAAAAUUAUAUAGUGCAAAAGCUUAAGAAAAAUCACAUACCCUGUGCCUUCACCAAAUCCCUCUUCAGCAUAUGGAUUAAAAGUUUGUACUGUGUCCCUAAGUCCCCCAGUGCAAUGAACUACUGGUACAGUUCCGUAUCUCAUUGCAUACAGUUGAUUUAGCCCACAUGGCUCAAAUCUUGAGGGCAUUAAUAAUAUGUCACAUCCUGCAGUUAUUCUAUGAGAAAUUGGAACAUUAAAUCCCACCCAUCCUCGAAAUUUGUCUCUGUAAGUUGACUCUGUUGCUCUCAUCCAUUCUUCAUACAGUGGAUCCCCAGACCCUAGCAUGACAAACUGAACAUCAUCUUCCAUCAGGUCAGGAACUGCCCAGCGAAUCAGGUCAAUGCCUUUUUGAUAGUCCAAUCUCCCAAUGAAUCCAAUCAAUGGACAAUCAGGCCUCAUAGGGAGACCUAAUUCUUUCUGCAAAGCAAUCUUACACUGAACCUGCAAUUGACAAAGAACUAGGGUAAUAGAAAAUACUUCAAAGCAAUUGAUUACAGAAAAUGAAUUGAGACUUAACCACCUUUCCGGAGAGAUCAUCAACAGAGUAAUGGUCAGCAAUAUGCUCAUCCGAUGAUGGAUCCCAUUCAGAAACAUCAAUGCCAUUUAUGAUCCCAUCCAACACGCUCCUUCGACUGCUUAACAGCUCAUGCAGACCAUAUCCACCUUCAACGGUUGUUAUUUCCCAAGAAUAGCCCUAAAAUUAAUAUUAAGUAUUAAUAUGAAGCAAUAUUGAAAACCCAACAAAAUUAUGUCAACAGAUAAUCAUUACCACACAGGUGAACUAAAUUUCUGCAAUUUUCAUGCUGAAUUUAUAUUAUUUCAAAAGUAAAGGCCAUCUAACAGAGGCUUUUAAUUCUGAAAUACUUAAAGGGUUGGAAAUAGGGAAGUAGGAACUUAAUAUAUAAAUCAAUGACCUUGCUAACUGUGAGAAUUCGAUCAGCUGUCACAAUUGCACCCUUAAGUACAUUUACAGCUUCACCUGUGUCCAGAGCAUGAGUUCUUGCCCACGUUGGGAACACCCAUUCCAGUGCCCCGUACCACUCUGGAGGCAGUCCAAAAUUUUUGUAUUUGACAGCAGGUUCCACUCCCUGAUGUGCAAGGUUAUGUAUCACAAGAAGACUACGGGCAUCCUUAUAAACCCCAUGUGGACGAUAUUUGGCAGCCAAAAGUACAGGGACUAGCCCAGCAUGCCAGUCAUUAGCAAGAAAGAGACAUUUCUCUCCAUAGUUAUAACCUCCAAGUGGAAGAACUAGAGGAGCUUCGCAUGCUGCAUGGCAAAGUAAAGUGAACCGAAACUGAUUAUCACCAAAAGCACCAUGGCUAUCACCAUAUGGAUUUCCAGGUCUAUGGUAUGAAGGAUUGUCUACAAACACCCAAUCUACACCUUCCCUAUACUCAUGGAAGAAGGAGACUUCUUGUGCGCCUCCAAAGCAUUGUACCUUGAUGUGACAGUCUAAAUCUAAAGCAUUAUCAAAAAUCUUAUCUUCAGGACAGGAAUGCAGGUAUCUAGGGGAAACAACCAUUACACGAUGUCCGCGGGCAGCCAGUACUAUAGGCAAAGAACCACAAACAUCUCCUAAUCCACCUGUCUUUGAAUAUGGUGCUGCUUCAGCAGUAACAAAAACAAUAUUGAGAUUUACUCUGGUUUGGGCUUUCUCUCUGCCUUCAGCAUCCACAGUUUCUUCUGCCAUAUCAAUAGCUACAUCGUCAGGAGAUUCAAUGCCAUCAUCACCAGACUGAGAAAUCAAGUUAAACCCAAUAACAGAACCAGUCUCAUCUCUUUCUGCCCCCAAUAUAAGACCUUUCUCUUCAUUCCCAUUUUGAACCUCUGAUAAUCCAUCUCGUGAAUUGCCCAGCCCGCCUACCUCUGUUCUUACAAGCGUCAAGGAAGCCUUUUUACACCUUUCUCCAAACAAAUAAGCAAAACCAAGUUGCGCGAUCGGAAGAAAACUGAGAUGGGUGUUUACUGAUUUUGGAGAUGAUGGGCACGAUCGGCCCUGGGUGAUCCUUAGAGACUGCAUAAGUGAAAUUAAAAAGAGGUAGCGAGUCAGGAGAGGAUAGAGAUAGAAAAAAGAGGCAGCGUUUAAGGCCAGUAGACGACGAAAGGGAUCAUUUAGUUGAAAUAGCGAGGAAAAUCUGAUAAAGAGAGCCGCUUUGUGACCAAAAGAACAAAGCAGCGACUGGAGAGGGAGUUCUUUUUGGGUUUAUUGCGAGAAAGAUAAGGAGAUUGAGGCCGGAGAGCGUAAGAUCCUGAAAAAGCGCG
rnacentral:misc_RNA from 1 species